UAAAGGUUGCACAAAGCUUAAAAGGAACAGAAGCAGCAGUUCUAUUCACUUGUUAUUGGACUUGAAACUCCUUUGACCUCGGAAGCUGAAGAUGAGGUUGCCAUGGGAACUGCUAGUGCUGCAAUCAUUCAUGUUGUGCCUUGCAGAUGACUACACACUACAUGGCCCAGUUUUUGUUCAAGAGCCAAGUCAUGUCAUGUUUCCUUUGGAUUCUGAGGAGAAAAAAGUGAAACUGAGUUGCGAAGUUAAAGGGAAUCCAAAGCCUCACAUCAGGUUUGUCCACUUAAGCAUGUGUUUCCAGCCUGGAAGGGCAGCAUAUAUCUGUGAUCAUAGCCUUUGUGAAGUAGAGGGAGGUCAUUCUGGGUAAACUCCAGGCCAGCAUGAUCUACAUAGUCAAGUUCCAGAACGCCCAGGGCUAAAUAGUGAGACCCCAGUUCCAAAACAACAGCAACAACAACAACAACAACACAUGCACAGACACACCAAAAAGAAAAAG
rnacentral:lncRNA from 1 species